AGUCGAACGGCAGCACGUACUUCGGUCUGGUGGCGAGUGGCGAACGGGUGAGUAACAUAUCGGAACGUAUCCAAUAAUGGGGGAUAACUAAUCGAAAGGUUGGCUAAUACCGCAUACGCCCUACGGGGGAAAGCAGGGGAUCUUCGGACCUUGCGUUAAUGGAGCGGCUGAUAUCUGAUUAGCUAGUUGGUGAGGUAAAGGCUCACCAAGGCGACGAUCAGUAGCUGGUCUGAGAGGACGACCAGCCACACUGGAACUGAGACACGGUCCAGACUCCUACGGGAGGCAGCAGUGGGGAAUUUUGGACAAUGGGCGCAAGCCUGAUCCAGCCAUUCCGCGUGAGUGAAGAAGGCCUUCGGGUUGUAAAGCUCUUUCGCAAGGGAAGAAAACUUACUUUCUAAUAAAGAGUGAGGUUGACGGUACCUUGAUAAGAAGCACCGGCUAACUACGUGCCAGCAGCCGCGGUAAUACGUAGGGUGCGAGCGUUAAUCGGAAUUACUGGGCGUAAAGCGUGCGCAGGCGGUUUUGUAAGUCAGAUGUGAAAUCCCCGAGCUCAACUUGGGAACUGCGUUUGAAACUACAAGACUAGAAUAUGUCAGAGGGGGGUAGAAUUCCACGUGUAGCAAUGAAAUGCGUACAGAUGUGGAGGAAUACCAUUGGCGAAAGCAGCCCCCUGGGAAUAUAUUGACGCUCAUGCACGAAAGCGUGGGGAGCAACAGGAUUAGAUACCCUGGUAGUCACGCCCUAAACGAUGUCUACUAUUUGCUGGUGGAGUAAAUCCCUGAGUAACGC
rnacentral:rRNA from 1 species